CUGAAAGAUUCUGAGUCUAAAGUUGUUUCAACUCUACUUAAUGUCACUAGGCUUCUUCUAAAACACCAGAAAACAGAGCCUUCAGGCUGGGCAAGUUAGUAGCUGGCUCCUGCAGUUACA